rnacentral:snRNA from 1 species
GAUAUUUAAGCAUGACUUA